GAGCUUACAAAAAGCUUGAUUGAAAAGAGAAGAGAAUGGAACACGGUAUGAUGACAACAAAGAGAAAAGGAGCCAAGAUUAGUCUGGACAGUAUGCAGACAUUGACUCUGCUUUGAGGACAGAGCUGGAAUUAAUUUCACGUGCACCACAUAAGGAGCUUCCGCCUAUUGCCUCUGCCCUCCCUGCACCGUGGGACACAUGAAGUAGUCUUAGUUCCAGCAGAUGGUAACAUCAGCUUCCUGGCCAACCUGGCAUUUCCCCAGGGAAGAAGGGAAGACGGAAUAAGGUUAUUAAUAUAUUCAAGUGAUAAUUUUUUUUUAAAUUUUCUUAAAGUCUCAUUUGACCUUAGUGCCUAUAAAUAAAUUUAUGUUGUUUUUUCAUGGCAUGGUAUGUCCAUUUUGGGAACUAAG
rnacentral:lncRNA from 1 species